rnacentral:rRNA from 1 species
GAGGGGCAGCGGGGGCGUAGCAAUAUGCCUGCCGGCGACCGGCGCACGGGUGAGUAACACGUAUGUAACCUGCCCUAUGCAGGGGGAUAACCCGGAGAAAUCCGGCCUAAUACCGCGUAAUACCUUAGGGGAGCAUUCUCUUGAGGUUAAAGGAGAGAUCCGGCAUAGGAUGGACAUGCGUCGCAUUAGGUAGACGGCGGGGUAACGGCCCACCGUGCCGACGAUGCGUAGGGGUUCUGAGAGGAAGGCCCCCCACACUGGUACUGAGACACGGACCAGACUCCUACGGGAGGCAGCAGUGAGGAAUAUUGGUCAAUGGCCGAGAGGCUGAACCAGCCAAGUCGCGUGAGGGAAGAAUGUCCUAAGGAUUGUAAACCUCUUUUGUCGGGGAGCAAAAAGGCUCUGCGGAGUCGUAUUGAGAGUACCCGAAGAAAAAGCAUCGGCUAACUCCGUGCCAGCAGCCGCGGUAAUACGGAGGAUGCGAGCGUUAUCCGGAUUUAUUGGGUUUAAAGGGUGCGCAGGCGGCGUGU